AUUGAACGCUGGCGGCAGGCCUAACACAUGCAAGUCGAACGAGUGGCGGACGGGUGAGUAAUGUCUGGGAAACUGCCUGAUGGAGGGGGAUAACUACUGGAAACGGUAGCUAAUACCGCAUAACAUAAGAUGUGCCCAGAUGGGAUUAGCUUGUUUGGGGGGUAACGCCUAACCACGGCGACGAUACCUAGCUGGUCUUCGAGGUUGACCAGCCACACUUGAACUGCGAGACGGUCCCGACUCCUACGGGAGGCAGCAGUGGGGAAUAUUGCACAAUGGGCGCAAGCCUGAUGCAGCCAUGCCCCGUGUAUGAAGAAGGCCUUCGGGUUGUAAAGUACUUUCAGCGGGGAGGCGUUACCCGCAGAAGAAGCACCGGCUAACUCCGUGCCAGCAGCCGCGGUAAUUC
rnacentral:rRNA from 1 species